rnacentral:lncRNA from 1 species
UGAAGACCUUGAAUGAAUUUUGAUUUUGAUUUGUAGCCCUCGGUCGAGUACUAAUGUUGGUACAUCAAGAAUGGGAAAUCGUAUUUAUUUGGUGGCCAAUUGAUGGUAGCCUCUCCACGCAGCGACGAGGGCACCAACAACGACAAUGAGGUCACCGCCACCUGCACCCUAACCCAAGCCAGAGCCUGUGUGGUCUUAU